CGAGGCUAUAAUGUCACAAACACGGGAAUGGAGGCGCAGUUACGCGACACGUAGCUCCCUUGUGGGCGUGACGAACAAAUAUGUUGUAGCGAUUACUGCCUCAUACAAACCUACCACUCCCAAUAUUUGAUGAGUGUGAAAAAUAGCACCAUGUUGUGAAGCAAGGAGAAGAGCAGAGUUUCCAGUGGCAUGAGACCCCCCCCCCCUAGCACAUUUGGGGAGCAGGGGCUGAAGACAUAGAGACAGGAGGAAGUUUUGUUUAUUUUGCAGUCUUGCUCUGAAGCUUCAGCCCCCAGUGAGCCGGGAGAGAGAGGCUUUGGGGCUGUGAAAUGAAAAGCGAGUGCAAUCAUCCAUCAUUCCUGUCAGGGGAUCUGGCUGUGGGGGGAGGGGGAGCAGCGCGCACACUUCCUUCUCCUCUACACCCAAACCGCCUCCACUACUGAAAGUCCUGCUG